GUUGAAAUACUGGUUCCCAUAUAAUCACCGAAGUUAAGCAAUGUCGAGUUUGGUCAGUAUUUAGAUGGGUGACAGAUUGGGAAUACAAGGGGCUGCAAG